rnacentral:rRNA from 1 species
AUUGAACGCUGGCGGCAUGCCUUACACAUGCAAGUCGAACGGCAGCGGACCUUCGGGUGCCGGCGAGUGGCGAACGGGUGAGUAAUAUAUCGGAACGUACCUUUCAGUGGGGGAUGACGUAGCGAAAGUUACGCUAAUACCGCAUAUUCUGUGAGCAGGAAAGCAGGGGAUCGCAAGACCUUGCGCUGAUUGAGCGGCCGAUAUCAGAUUAGCUAGUUGGUGAGGUAAAGGCUCACCAAGGCGACGAUCUGUAGCGGGUCUGAGAGGAUGAUCCGCCACACUGGAACUGAGACACGGUCCAGACUCCUACGGGAGGCAGCAGUGGGGAAUUUUGGACAAUGGGCGCAAGCCUGAUCCAGCCAUGCCGCGUGAGUGAAGAAGGCC